rnacentral:rRNA from 1 species
CCUACGGGUGGCAGCAGUGGGGAAUAUUGCACAAUGGGGGGAACCCUGAUGCAGCAACGCCGCGUGGGUGAAGAGGUACUCCGGUAUGUAAAGCUCUAUCAGCAGGGAAGAAGAAAGACGGUACCUGACUAAGAAGCCCCGGCUAACUACGUGCCAGCAGCCGCGGGAAUACGUAGGGGGCAAGCGUUAUCCGGAUUUACUGGGUGUAAAGGGAGCGUAGACGGGUGUGCAAGUCUGAAGUUAAAGUCCAGGGCUCAACCCUGGGACUGCUUUGGAAACUGUGGAGCUAGAGUGCUGGAGAGGUAAGUGGAAUUCCUAGUGUAGCGGUGAAAUGCGUAGAUAUUAGGAGGAACACCAGUGGCGAAGGCGGCUUACUGGACAGUAACUGACGUUGAGGCUCGAAAGCGUGGGGAGCAAACAGGAUUAGAUACCCGGGUAGUC